UACGGAGGGUGCAAGCGUUAUCCGGAUUUACUGGGUUUAAAGGGUGCGUAGGCGGGAUUGUAAGUCAGAGGUGAAAUUUUAUUGCUUAACGAUGACAUUGCCUUUGAUACUGCGGUUCUUGAAAUAUGUUGAGGUUGGCGGAAUGUGACAUGUAGCGGUGAAAUGCUUAGAUAUGUCAUAGAACACCGAUUGCGAAGGCAGCUGACUGGACAUUAUUUGACGCUGAGGCACGAAAGCGUGGGGAUCAAACAGG
rnacentral:rRNA from 1 species